GCCCCCUCACAUUUGAUCUUCAGUCGGUAGAAGAUGAGAAUCUUAAUCUCAGGAUCGUGGGUAGGAGCCCCACACUGGGCA